AAUGUAUGCAUAUCAUAGGGAGAAGUUACAUAUUAAUCAGCUCUGGGAGUUAAAGGGUUAAUUUCCCCCCCUCUCCCUCCAUUGUUAUAUUGGUGAGUUUACAUGGUGUAGCACUUGCAGCAUGAAGGUGUACAAUCUACAUACAUUGUAUCAACUUUGUAAUGGGGGAGAUGGUAGGAAAAUGAUGGAUGUGGAUGUGGAUUUUCAGAUAUAAUUUAAACUCUUUUUCAAAUUGUGUCACAAAAUAAGAAAUAAGGGUAAGCCAUUAACACCAAGAUAUUUGGAUUAGCUUUCAAUUGGUGACUGAUUUCUGGAUAAGAGGUAACUCUGGAGAUUUAUCAGUAAUGAGGAAACAAAUCAUUGGUUAUUGCUGAUCUUUUUUACUUCCAAUUUUAAACAAACAAGAUUUUGGACAAACUCGUGUUAACAAAUAGAUUAACUGUAAGCUACAUGUAAUUGUAGAACAUACUCUAAUGCUAAAGUGAAAGAUUGUAAAAGAAUAACACAUUUAGAACCUUUGUCAGGUUGGAAGUUCAACUUUUUAGUAUUUUACCAGCUAUCACAUUUGACAAAGAAUCACAUUAUUUUUUUCGUCAUUCUUUCCUCACAGUAUCAUUUGAAAAUUGAUUGAGGGGCCCAUGAAAUGUGGGAUUUGAAUUGUUGAUAAGGAUGUGCUUCUAUUAACUUGAUUAACUUUUAAUGAUUUCAGGAUGUUUAUCUGUAGAGCUCAGACCUUGUGUGGCUUAAAGCUCCCUGUAUAUCAGUUUGUUGCUGUACAAAGUCUUUUUAACAGGUGUCAAGUCCUCAAGGCUUAAGCCAAAUUGUUGGUUGUUCCUGAGUGCUGGUUUUUGGGUCAAGGGAGUCAAUCCAUGAAGUAACAGGACUGGUUCACUCUUUGAACUCAUCUCCUCCUGAGAGAAACCAAGAAAGCUGCACAUGAGUCACAUGAAGACUUUAGCUUUACACAACAAGAUCUUGUAUUUCUGCAAGGUGCAAGUCACAAACAGAUCGACAAGAAGGAAAGCAAAAAGCCAGAGAAAAAUCAUGAACAUUGUAAAGAUGGGGGCCGAUUGUCGAGAAGUAAAGCAAGAAACUAGAGAAAAAUAUCAACCUUGGACAGAACGCAAAAAUUGGGGUCAGCUCGCCAUGUCUUCCACCGUCAAUACAGGCAGUCUUUUUUUAAAAGCAAUCUGUAAAAGCUGUCUACCUUGCAGUGACAACAUCUUGGAAUGCGUAUGCGCAAUUAAGACAGACGUUUGGUUACAUUAACCGCCUGCGUUUGAAAGAAAUGUUACUACCACAAAGUAGACAAUCCUUGGAAAGAUAUAACAAAUGUGUAGGCUAGUGGGGGGUGCGGUGGGUGAGGACGGUUGGAGAAAAAUAAUUGGUACUGUAAUAUUACUGUAUUCGGAGACUAUAAGAACAAUAUUGUGCUAUUCCUAUUGUAAUAUGUACAGUACUGAACUGUAUGUCAAAGGUGUUUGUACCACAGGAUAGUUUGUCUUCAGUCAAGAGUUAAGAAAACUGUCUAAAAGUGGCGGCUACGGGGAGGGGUUGAGGACGGUGAGGCGCUUUUCGAUUCUUUCCAGGGUAGAUGGUGGACUGAUCGAACCCCAAUUUUUCAUUUUAUUCUCUGGAUUGGGGCUCGAUCCAAUUGUGCUUUCUUUCCAAGAUUGAAAAUUGUCUCUAGUUUUAAUCUUAAGGUGAUCGUGUUCCUUGGUAUCCAGCUUUGGGUGGUCGAAGAAGCCUGCAACACAAGGAAAUAAAAUUAAAACUAAGAAUCUGAGCCAUGAAAACGUUACCCGCCUUCAUACUUCCUAAGACUUUAACCAAAAGGACGACAAACGUCGUCAACAAAUAAUCUGUCUCAAACCAGUGUAAUAUUACUGUAUUAAAGACAAAGACAAACUUUCACAAA
rnacentral:lncRNA from 1 species